rnacentral:rRNA from 1 species
UACGGAGGGAGCUAGCGUUGUUCGGAAUUACUGGGCGUAAAGGGUUUGUAGGUGGCCAACUAAGUCAGACGUGAAAUCCCUCAGCUUAACUGGGGAACUGCGUCUGAUACUGGUUGGCUUGAGUGCAGGAGAGGAACGCGGAAUUCCAGGUGUAGCGGUGAAAUGCGUAGAUAUCUGGAGGAACACCGGUGGCGAAGGCGGCGUUCUGGACUGCAACUGACACUGAGAAACGAAAGCCAGGGUAGCAAACGGG